rnacentral:lncRNA from 1 species
AUUCAACAAACAACCCAGAAAUUUGCGCUACUACAGUCCUAACAAUUCAAGCAAUAACCCCCAAUAUUUAUCCAGUAACCAGUGAAUAAUUCCAAAUCUCCAAAGAAAGUCAACAGAGGGCUAAAAGUAUAAUGGACAAAGCAAGCAGAGGAACCCCAGGUGGGAACCCCGUCCACUGAAGAUGAAAAACCAACCCAAGGAAGAAUUAAACCCGUAAAUCAGUCAAUGACUCGCACAGGGGAGUUGUCCCAGAUCAUAGAUAAAGCCCUUCCUAAUCAGUAAUUGAAAUGAACAUGCAACUGCAGAUUUGCAACCAGAUUUGCAAUAGAAUUGCUCGUGAAAUCAGCACUGGAAUCAAUGGACAGAACACUCCCAACAAUUGAAGUAAAUUCGUCCAAUUUCAACAAGCAACGCAAAUGCCACCCAAUUCAACAAACAACCACAGAAAUAAUCCAACUUUUCCACAGAAACUCUGGGUCAUCGAAACCCAAACAAUUCCCAACAAAUUACUCGAAUUGAUGCACUAAUUAAAGCAACAGGUGGGAGCCCAGUUGAUUCCAAACCUGUCUGAUGGAUUGGCGGCGCUGAGGAAGGGGACAGGGAGGCUCGCGGUGUGAGAGCAAGCCAUGGGCAGCAGCUAGUUGGCUCGCCGUGCGCAAGAGAGCUAGGUUACUGCGGCAAUGAGAGGGAGAAGGAGAGCAGAGAUGCGCAGUGGCGGUG